UACGUAGGGGGCAAGCGUUGUCCGGAUUUAUUGGGCGGAAAGAGCGUGUAGGCGGUUUGGUAGGUCCGCUGUGAAAACUCGAGGCUCAACCUCGAGACGCCGGUGGAAACCAUCAGACUAGAGUCCGGAAGAGGAGAGUGGAAUUCCUGGUGUAGCGGUGAAAUGCGCAGAUAUCAGGAAGAACACCCGUGGCUAAGGCGGCCUACUGGGCCAGCACUGACGCUGAGGCGCGAAAGCUCGGGGAGCGAACGGG
rnacentral:rRNA from 1 species